rnacentral:rRNA from 1 species
GACGAAUGCUGGCUGCGUGCUUAACACAUGCAAGUCGAACGGUGAAAGGGAGCUUGCUCCCUGGAUCAGUGGCGAACGGGUGAGUAACACGUGGGCAACCUGCCCCUCACUCUGGGAUAACUCCGGGAAACCGGGGCUAAUACCGGAUACGACCUGGUGCGAUAUCGCACCGGGUGGAAAGAACUUCGGUGAGGGAUGGGCCCGCGGCCUAUCAGCUCGUUGGUGGGGUAACGGCCCACCAAGGCGACGACGGGUAGCCGGCCUGAGAGGGCGACCGGCAACACUGGGACUGAAACAGUGCCCAGACUCCUACGGGAGGCAGCAGUGGGGAAUAUUGCGCAAUGGGCGAAAGCCUGACGCAGCGACGCAGCGUGAGGGACGAAGGCCUUCGGGUUGUAAACCUCUUUCAGCGGGGACGAAGCGAAAGUGACGGUACCCGCAGAAGAAGCACCGGCUAACUACGUGCCAGCAGCCGCCGUAACAC